rnacentral:rRNA from 1 species
CAGUACCGCGGGAAUACGAAGGGUGCAAGCGUUAAUCGGAAUUACUGGGCGUAAAGCGCACGUAGGCGGAUCGUUAAGUCGGGGGUGAAAUCCUGGAGCUCAACUCCAGAACUGCCUUCGAUACUGGCGAUCUUGAGUCCGGAAGAGGUGAGUGGAACUCCUAGUGUAGAGGUGGAAUUCGUAGAUAUUAGGAAGAACACCAGUGGCGAAGGCGGCUCACUGGUCCGGUACUGACGCUGAGGUGCGAAAGCGUGGGGAGCAAACAGGAUUAGAUACCCCUGUAGUCCCUGUCUCUUAUACA